AACUAUUGGGCUAGAGUGUGGGAGAGGAAGAUGGAAUUAGUUGUGUAGGGGUAAAAUCCGUAGAGAUAACUAGGAAUACCAAAAGCGAAGGCAAUCUUCUGGAACACUACUGACGCUGAGGCGCGAAGGCGUGGGGAGCAAACAGGAUUAGAUACCCUGGUAGUCCACGCAGUAAACGAUGAAUGUUAGUCGUCGGGUAGCUAGUCUAUUCGGUGAUGCAGCUAACGCAUUAAACAUUCCGCCUGGGGAGUACGGUCGCAAGAUUAAAACUCAAAGGAAUAGACGGGGACCCGCACAAGUGGUGGAGCAUGUGGUUUAAUUCGAAGAUACGCGAAGAACCUUACCUAGCCUUGACAUAUAUUAGAACAGACCAGAGAUGGACUGGUGCCUUCGGGAGCUUUUAUACAGGUGCUGCACGGCUGUCGUCAGCUCGUGUCGUGAGAUGUUGGGUUAAGUCCCGCAACGAGCGCAACCCUCGUCCUUAGUUGCCAGCAGGUUAAGCUGGGCACUUUAAGGAGACUGCCUUCGCAAGGAGGAGGAAGGUGAGGACGACGUCAAGUCAUCAUGGCCCUUAUGGCUAGGGCUACACACGUGCUACAAUGGGGCGUACAGAGAGUUGCGAUACCGCGAGGUGGAGCCAAUCUCAUAAAGCGUCUCUCAGUUCGGAUUGAAGUCUGCAACUCGACUUCAUGAAGCUG
rnacentral:rRNA from 1 species